rnacentral:lncRNA from 1 species
GGGCAAACAAUAAUUUUAUUUAUUAAUAAAGAUCAAGUAUACAUAGACGUAAAUAAGAAAAUCUCUUGUAUAUUUCAAGAGAUUUUGAUAGCUGAAUUUAAACAAACUGAUUGACACAAGUACUAAAAGUACAUGUCCUUUAUUUUAUUUAUUAAACAGAAUAUAAAAGAGUAACACUGUCCUUAACCACUGUAGUCAGGAUUUCUCCCGUAUUGAGGGACAACGAGAAGAUCAAGAUUGUCAUUUAUGGUUUCAUCAUCUGUAAUAGCAAAGUGAGUGUAGAAACCCUCCGACCAUCCAUUCCCAACUGAAAAAUUCAUAUUAAAAAAUAUUUGUAAAUGCAAACAUUAAAUUAAUAAUCAUAAAUGAUAUUCAACUGAAAUUAGCCAAAAACCUGCGAAAGAUGUUUCCAUAUUCUUCAAAUCAGAAAAGAUAUCUGCUUGUGGCCAAUCGUAAUCAAAACUUCAAAAGCAAGUGAGUUGCUCUUGCGAGUUCUUGUUUCUAGUUUU